AUUGAACGCUGGCGGCAGGCCUAACACAUGCAAGUCGAGCGGAUGAAGGGAGCUUGCUCCUGGAUUCAGCGGCGGACGGGUGAGUAAUGCCUAGGAAUCUGCCUGGUAGUGGGGGAUAACGUCCGGAAACGGGCGCUAAUACCGCAUACGUCCUGAGGGAGAAAGUGGGGGAUCUUCGGACCUCACGCUAUCAGAUGAGCCUAGGUCGGAUUAGCUAGUUGGUGGGGUAAAGGCCUACCAAGGCGACGAUCCGUAACUGGUCUGAGAGGAUGAUCAGUCACACUGGAACUGAGACACGGUCCAGACUCCUACGGGAGGCAGCAGUGGGGAAUAUUGGACAAUGGGCGAAAGCCUGAUCCAGCCAGGCCGCGUGUGUGAAGAAGGCCUUCGGAUUGUAAAGCACUUUAAGUUGGGAGGAAGGGCAGUAAGUUAAUACCUUGCUGUUUUGACGUUACCAACAGAAUAAGCACCGGCUAACUUCGUG
rnacentral:rRNA from 1 species